rnacentral:rRNA from 1 species
UGGCCUUGACAUAGAAAGAAUUUUUCAGAGACGAAAAAGUGCUAGUUUACUAGAGCUUUCAUACAGGUGCUGCACGGCUGUCGUCAGCUCGUGUCGUGAGAUGUUGGGUUAAGUCCCGCAACGAGCGCAACCCUCGUGUUUAGUUACUAACAGUUCGGCUGAGGACUCUAAACAGACUGCCUGGGUAACCAGGAGGAAGGUGAGGACGACGUCAAGUCAUCAUGGCCCUUACGGCCAGGGCUACACACGUGCUACAAUGGGGUAUACAAAGAGCCACAAUACCGUGAGGUGGAGCAAAUCUCAUAAAAUAUCUCCCAGUUCGGAUUGAAGUCUGCAACUCGACUUCAUGAAGUUGGAAUCGCUAGUAAUCGUGAAUCAGCAAUGUCACGGUGAAUACGUUCCCGGGUCU